GACGAACGCUGGCGGCGUGCUUAACACAUGCAAGUCGAACGCUGAAGCUUGGUGCUUGCACUGGGUGGAUGAGUGGCGAACGGGGGAGUAAUACGUGAGUAACCUGCCCUUGACUCUGGGAUAAGCCUGGGAAACUGGGUCUAAUACUGGAUACGACAUGCCACUGCAUGGUGGUGUGUGGAAAGGGGUUUACUGGUUUUGGAUGGGCUCACGGCCUAUCAGCUUGUUGGUGGGGUAAUGGCCUACCAAGGCGACGACGGGUAGCCGGCCUGAGAGGGUGACCGGCCACACUGGGACUGAGACACGGCCCAGACUCCUACGGGAGGCAGCAGUGGGGAAUAUUGCACAAUGGGCGGAAGCCUGAUGCAGCGACGCCGCGUGAGGGAUGACGGCCUUCGGGUUGUAAACCUCUUUCAGCACGGAAGAAGCGAGAGUGACGGUACGUGCAGAAGAAGCGCCGGCUAACUACGUG
rnacentral:rRNA from 1 species